GACGAACGCUGGCGGCGUGCCUAAUACAUGCAAGUAGAACGCCGAAGGAGGAGCUUGCUUCUCUGGAUGAGUUGCGAACGGGUGAGUAACGCGUAGGUAACCUGCCUGGUAGCGGGGGAUAACUAUUGGAAACGAUAGCUAAUACCGCAUAAGAGUAGAUGUUGCAUGACAUUUGCUUAAAAGGUGCAAUUGCAUCACUACCAGAUGGACCUGCGUUGUAUUAGCUAGUUGGUGAGGUAACGGCUCACCAAGGCAACGAUACAUAGCCGACCUGAGAGGGUGAUCGGCCACACUGGGACUGAGACACGGCCCAGACUCCUACGGGAGGCAGCAGUAGGGAAUCUUCGGCAAUGGACGGAAGUCUGACCGAGCAACGCCGCGUGAGUGAAGAAGGUUUUCGGAUCGUAAAGCUCUGUUGUAAGAGAAGGGACGAGUGUGAGAGUGAAAAGUU
rnacentral:rRNA from 1 species